rnacentral:rRNA from 1 species
GUAGGUGGCAAGCGUUGUCCGGAAUUAUUGGGCGUAAAGCGCGCGCAGGCGGUUCUUUAAGUCUGAUGUGAAAGCCCACGGCUCAACCGUGGAGGGUCAUUGGAAACUGGAGAACUUGAGUACAGAAGAGGAAAGCGGAAUUCCACGUGUAGCGGUGAAAUGCGUAGAGAUGUGGAGGAACACCAGUGGCGAAGGCGGCUUUCUGGUCUGUAACUGACGCUGAGGCGCGAAAGCGUGGGGGAGCAAACAGGAUUAGAUACCCUGGUAGUCCACGCCGUAAACGAUGAGUGCUAAGUGUUAGGGGGUUUCCGCCCCUUAGUGCUGCAGCUAACGCAUUAAGCACUCCGCCUGGGGAGUACGGCCGCAAGGCUG